GGGCUCGUAGCUCAGUUGGAUAGAGCGGCAGCCUCCUAACCUGCCUUGGGAGAAAGCUGCAAGUCGCGGGUUCAAAUCCCGCCGGGCCCG
rnacentral:tRNA from 1 species